GACGAACGCUGGCGGCGUGCUUAACACAUGCAAUUCGAACGGAAAGGCCCUGCUUUUGUGGGGUGCUCGAAUGGCGAACGGGUGAAUAACACGUGAGUAACCUGCCCUUGACUUUGGGAUAACUUCAGGAAACUGGGGCUAAUACCGGAUAGGAGCUCCUGCUGCAUGGUGGGGGUUGGAAAGUUUCGGCGGUUGGGGAUGGACUCGCGGCUUAUCAGCUUGUUGGUGGGGUAGUGGCUUACCAAGGCUUUGACGGGUAGCCGGCCUGAGAGGGUGACCGGCCACAUUGGGACUGAGAUACGGCCCAGACUCCCGCGGGAGGCAGCAGUGGGGAAUAUUGCACAAUGGGCGGAAGCCUGAUGCAGCAACGCCGCGUGCGGGAUGACGGCCUUCGGGUUGUAAACCGCUUUCGCCUGUGACGAAGCGUGAGUGACGGUAAUGGGUAAAGAAGCACCGGCUAACUACGUGCCAGCAGCCGCGGUGAUACGUAGGGUGCGAGCGUUGUCCGGAUUUAUUGGGCGUAAAGGGCUCGUAGGUGGUUGAUCGCGUCGGAAGUGUAAUCUUGGGGCUUAACCCUGAGCGUGCUUUCGAUACGGGUUGACUUGAGGAAGGUAGGGGAGAAUGGAAUUCCUGGUGGAGCGGUGGAAUGCGCAGAUAUCAGGAGGAACACCAGUGGCGAAGGCGGUUCUCUGGGCCUUUCCUGACGCUGAGGAGCGAAAGCGUGGGGAGCGAACAGGCUUAGAUACCCUGGUAGUCCACGCUGUAAACGGUGGGUACUAGGUGUGGGGUCCAUUCCACGGGUUCCGUGCCGUAGCUAACGCUUUAAGUACCCCGCCUGGGGAGUACGGCCGCAGGGCUAAAACUCAAAGGAAUUGACGGGGCCCCGCACAAGCGGCGGAGCAUGCGGAUUAAUUCGAUGCAACGCGUAGAACCUUACCUGGGUUUGACAUGGAUCGGGAGUGCUCAGAGAUGGGUGUGCCUCUUUUGGGGUCGGUUCACAGGUGGUGCAUGCCUGUCGUCAGCUCGUGUCGUGAGAUGUUGGGUUAAGUCCCGCAACGAGCGCAACCCUUGUUCACUGUUGCCAGCACGUUAUGGUGGGGACUCAGUGGAGACCGCCGGGGUCAACUCGGAGGAAGGUGGGGAUGACGUCAAGUCCUCAUGCCCCUUAUGUCCAGGGCUUCACGCAUGCUACAAUGGCUGGUACAGAGAGUGGCGAGCCUGUGAGGGUGAGCGAAUCUCGGAAAGCCGGUCUCAGUUCGGAUUGGGGUCUGCAACUCGACCUCAUGAAGUCGGAGUCGCUAGUAAUCGCAGAUCAGCAACGCUGCGGUGAAUACGUUCCCGGG
rnacentral:rRNA from 1 species